CUCGCUUCUCGGCUUUUUGGCUAAGAUCAAUUGUAGUAUCUGUUCUUAUCAGUUUAAUAUCUGCUACGUUCUCUGAGAACAAUAUAUUUAAUUGAUUUUGGGGGCAGGGAGAGGGAAUAGGAGCUUGCUUCAUCCUCUCCACGCAUCGACCCGGUAUCCCAGUACUUCUGGGAACGGUGUAUUUCCC